GACGAACGCUGGCGGCGUGCUUAACACAUGCAAGUCGAACGGAAAGGCCCUGCUUUUGUGGGGUGCUCGAGUGGCGAACGGGUGAGUAACACGUGAGUAACCUGCCCUUGACUUUGGGAUAACUUCAGGAAACUGGGGCUAAUACCGGAUAGGAGCUCCUGCUGCAUGGUGGGGGUUGGAAAGUUUCGGCGGUUGGGGAUGGACUCGCGGCUUAUCAGCUUGUUGGUGGGGUAGUGGCUUACCAAGGCUUUGACGGGUAGCCGGCCUGAGAGGGUGACCGGCCUCAUUGGGACUGAGAUACGGCCCAGACUCCUACGGGAGGCAGCGGUGGGGAAUAUUGCACAAUGGGCGGAAGCCUGAUGCAGCAACGCCGCGUGCGGGAUGACGGCCUUCGGGUUGUAAACCGCUUUCGCCUGUGACGAAGCGUGAGUGACGGUAAUGGGUAAAGAAGCACCGGCUAACUACGUG
rnacentral:rRNA from 1 species